rnacentral:rRNA from 1 species
AUGCGAUAACUGGUGUGAAUUGCAGAAUCCCGUGAAUCAUCGAGUUUUUGAACGCAAGUUGCGCCCGAAGCUUAGGCCAAGGGCACGUCUGCCUGGGUGUCACACAC